UCGCUCUCUUUCUGCCGCCAUCUUGGUUCCGCGUUCCCUGCACAAAAUGCCCGGCGAAGCCACAGAAACCGUCCCUGCUACAGAGCAGGAGUUGCCGCAGCCCCAGGCUGAGACAGGGUCUGGAACAGAAUCUGACAGUGAUGAAUCAGUACCAGAGCUUGAAGAACAGGAUUCCACCCAGGCAACCACACAACAAGCCCAGCUGGCGGCAGCAGCUGAAAUUGAUGAAGAACCAGUCAGUAAAGCAAAACAGAGUCGGAGUGAAAAGAAGAUGUCUACAAGAGCCCUGCUUCGGAUACUUACAUAGUUUUUGGGGAAGCCAAGAUCGAAGAUUUAUCCCAGCAAGCACAACUAGCAGCUGCUGAGAAAUUCAAAGUUCAAGGUGAAGCUGUCUCAAACAUUCAAGAAAACACACAGACUCCAACUGUACAAGAGGAGAGUGAAGAGGAAG
rnacentral:sRNA from 1 species